AGAGCACCCAGUUAAAUUUUGUAUUUCACAUAAAAAAUGAAAAAUUUCAUAGGAUAAGUAUAUCCGUGUAAUACUUGGGAUAUACUUAUGCUAAAAAAGCAUUCCUGAUUUAUCUGAAAUUCAAAUUUAACUGGAAAUUCUAUA
rnacentral:miRNA from 1 species